AGUGAACGCUGGCGGUAGGCCUAACACAUGCAAGUCGAACGGCAGCACAGGAGAGCUUGCUCUCUGGGUGGCGAGUGGCGGACGGGUGAGGAAUACACCGGAAUCUACUCUGUCGUGGGGGAUAACGUAGGGAAACUUACGCUAAUACCGCAUACGACCUACGGGUGAAAGCAGGGGAUCUUCGGACCUUGCGCGAUUGAAUGAGCCGAUGUCGGAUUAGCUAGUUGGCGGGGUAAAGGCCCACCAAGGCGACGAUCCGUAGCUGGUCUGAGAGGAUGAUCAGCCACACUGGAACUGAGACACGGUCCAGACUCCUACGGGAGGCAGCAGUGGGGAAUAUUGGACAAUGGGCGCAAGCCUGAUCCAGCCAUACCGCGUGGGUGAAGAAGGCCUUCGGGUUGUAAAGCCCUUUUGUUGGGAAAGAAAUCCAGCUGGCUAAUACCCGGUUGGGAUGACGGUACCCAAAGAAUAAACACCGGCUAACUUCGUGCCAGCAGCCGCAGUAA
rnacentral:rRNA from 1 species